rnacentral:rRNA from 1 species
UAACCUGCCCAAGAGAUCGGGAUAACACCUGGAAACAGAUGCUAAUACCGGAUAACAAUAGAUGAUGCCUAUCAACUGUUUAAAAGAUGGUUCUGCUAUCACUAUUGGAUGGACCUGCGGUGCAUUAGCUAGUUGGUAGGGUAACGGCCUACCAAGGCGAUGAUGCAUAGCCGAGUUGAGAGACUGAUCGGCCACAUUGGGACUGAGACACGGCCCAAACUCCUACGGGAGGCAGCAGCC